rnacentral:tRNA from 1 species
UAUAUUGAGGUGUAUAGUAGCACAGAAAGUUUUGAACUUUCAGGAGAUAGUUAGAACCUAUUUAAUAUAG